GACGAACGCUGGCGGCGUGCUUAACACAUGCAAGUCGAACGGAAAGGCCCUGCUUUUGUGGGGUGCUCGAGUGGCGAACGGGUGAGUAACACGUGAGUAACCUGCCCUUGACUUUGGGAUAACUUCAGGAAACUGGGGCUAAACCCGAAAAGAACCCCUGCCGCCUGGUGGGGGUUGGAAAGUUUCGGCGGUUGGGGAUGGACUCGCGGCUUAUCAGCUUGUUGGUGGGGUAGUGGCUUACCAAGGCUUUGACGGGUAGCCGGCCUGAGAGGGUGACCGGCCACAUUGGGACUGAGAUACGGCCCAGACUCCUACGGGAGGCAGCAGUGGGGAAUAUUGCACAAUGGGCGGAAGCCUGAUGCAGCAACGCCGCGUGCGGGAUGACGGCCUUCGGGUUGUAAACCGCUUUCGCCUGUGACGAAGCGUGAGUGACGGUAAUGGGUAAAGAAGCACCGGCUAACUACGUG
rnacentral:rRNA from 1 species